CACACACUUCCGGUUCCCGCCGAUCCGCCCGUUUGCUUGACAGGAUUUAGGGCGCUGGGACAAGAAUGACGAAGGAUCCUUCUUUCUAGGCUGGGAAGAGGGUUGCAAGUCGAAAUGCUCAGUGCAGGAACUCAGACAAGUGCAAGAUUCUCCAGGGGCGAUUCGCGCCACGCUCCGGAACAGUGAUUGGUCUGUUUUGGCGCGGAAGGCGGGAACAACCUUCUUCACUCUGAUUGGAGGGCUGGAGAAUUUCCUAGUUCCCAGACUUGGGUGAUGCCCCUGGCUGGCUUUGAACUCAAAAAGAUCUGCCUGCUUCUGUCUGCCGAGUGCUGGGAUUUAAGGCGUGCACCACCACGCCCAGCGUCUAUUCCUUAAAGCAAUCCUGUGGAUGACAGGAGUCCCGUUUUUCAGCGGAGAAAACUGAGACUCCGCCGUUAAGUGCCACAUGGCAAAUCUGAUCCCACAGACUCCAAAAGCAAAGAGCAUGUGGAAAGAGGAAAAGGCUGGGAAGAGAGACAAAGCUUAAAAUGACUGUCCCAGGAGAUAGUGGUGCACGCCCCCAGCGCUGGAGCGGCAGAGGCAGGGGGAUCUCAGAGUUCAAGGCCUGUACAAGGUCUCUUCUACAGAGCGAGUUUCAGGAUAGCUAGGACUACUCAGAGAGGUAUCCUUGGAGCUGGAAAUGCAGGCCAGUUAGUAGACGGCUUGCCUAACAGGGCUUAGUGGGUAAAGUACUUGAAUUUAGGUCCCUAGGACCCAUGCAAAUGCCAGGUAGAUAUGCACUUGCGGCCUCAGCAACCGGGAAAGCAGAGACCAUGGGGAAGAAUCCAGGGAGCUGGCUAGCCAUCCAGUCUAGCCCAAAUAGCUCUCUCCAAGUUCAGUGAGCCACGAGGGAAAUGUAUAUUUUAUAUUGAACAUCCCAUAAUUAACAACAAAGAAGUAGGAAAAUAUUUACAAGACUUCCUGAGUUCUAAGAUGCAUCUACCCUCCCACCCACCCACUUCCUGCACAGCAAAGCAAAAAUUGAGCAAAUGCUUACUCUUAACAACCUACGGCUCUUCAGAAAAUUGAGCAAUGCAUAUUAAAGAGAAGCAAUCUGAACCGUAGUGUGCAAGGUACUUACUUACAGGCCAACAGAGCUGUGGGUGAACACUCUGGGGAGGCUCUCCCAUUAAAGAUCAGAUAAAUAAAAAAGACUUUAAUUUUUUAUUUA
rnacentral:lncRNA from 1 species